CGAUGCUAUUCAAUUCUGAUUCAAUUCUAAAAUUCAAAAUUCAUUCUGUAUCAUAAUCCUCUAAUUAAUAUAAUUUCCCACGCUGCAUAUUACGCGUAAGUAUACAUUUCCGAUUACUAUUUGCACACCUGAACGAACCAGUAACCAUACCCAUACCGUAUGAUCACCAACAGCAACACCCAUCACCCAUCACCCAUCACCCAGUACCCACUGCUAAACGCCAAAAUCCCACAACGACUCACUUCCCACCACACUGCACGUGUGAACCAAUACAGGACCAGUAAACGAAACAUCCGCGCGACUGUGCGCACCUGUAAGUCGCAACUGCGCCCACAAUUCGCGUGCGGCAACCUCCCGUUUCGUCGUUUAGUUGGAAAACAGUAUCACGCAAUUACAAACUGUUCCAGCCUAUGAAGUUCCCUACUGCGUACCAGCUAGGUCAGUUUAGUCGCCAAAGCGACUCGACGAAAGAAGAACGAACGCUUUAAAACUGGUGUUCGCGACGUUUUCUUUUUUUUUUUUUUUUUUAUCAGCGUUACAACGAAGAAAACCAUCACGAGAGAUCAUCGAUCGGGAUACGAAUCCCUACGAGAAAGGUUGGAAAUCGACGACGAGGAAAUCAUCACCUUGGUAACCAACGGCAAAACAUAAGUGCGGGUCGUUGGAAACGUGAUACGUGGAUUCGAGGAACGUAGCAAGGCGAAUAUCUCUUCUCUAUAUGGAUUUUUCGGUCCGAUUCGAUUCACGUCUAGGAAGACGUUGAUCUCUCGUAGUCGACAUCGGUUUUUUUUUUUCUUCUGUCUGACAUGACAGUUCUGGAGGAACUCGACUCGUGGCCUCGGGCAUUCAGCAGCUGACGGCAACCAGGCGAUCGUACAUCCGGGGAAAAGCGUUCAACGCUUGGACAAAGAUGGAUACUGGCCUCUCCUGGAUCCUCGCUUUUGCCUUGAUCGCGCUCCUCGUAUCGGAAGGUUGGGCCAUCGAUUGUUUCAAGUGCGUGUCGAUCGACGGCGACAACAAGCCCUGUGACGAUCCGUUUCACAACAACGGGAGUCUGGCCUUCCUGGAGUCGCCAUGCUUAGGAGGUCGCAAAGGGCGCGAUGGUCUUUUCCCCGCGACUGCGUGCAUCAAAAUAGCUGGAAUAUAUGACGAAUCCGGCGUCUCUUUGACGGUGAGAAGCUGCGCGCUGGACAGCGGAACUCUGACGACCGACUCCGAAAUCAUAAGAAUGUCACAUUGCGGAGGAUUCUAUUUCGACGACAAAUACGUUCGCGGAUGCGUGCAGUCUUGCAACGAUGCGGAUGCCUGCAAUGGAUCCACACGGCGAGCAGUUGCGCUCGUGCUUUUAACUUUAUCGAUUUUCCUUGGACUAAUUUGACGAGGAUGGUCAGCGUAAAAUUCGCGUUAAUUAAAAUAUAGAUAAUUAUUGUAUAUAUCAAACGAGAAACGAUCACCUCUAUAUAUAACGGACCAGUUCGAAUGUAAAUCAGUAACCUGACCAAUUUAGCUGUGGACCAAAGACGUAAGAAAACGAAAAUGAUAACUCGUCCAAAUAAAUACAUAUGUAUGCGUUUCUCAUGACGCUAUAAUUACGAAGGAAAAGUAUAUAGAAUCACUAUUUGAUACUAUUUGAUAGUCUGCAGAAUAAAAAGAGCAACAACUGCCAUUUUACUUAAACGUAACCGUUAUUGUUUUAUUAAUAUUCAUGCGUAGAUUAUGUAAUUUAUGAUCUAGUGAUUGCUUGGAAUUAUAGUCGAACGUAUAUUCGUGAGAUUAUCGUUAUUGCAGACUGUGUAGAA